rnacentral:rRNA from 1 species
GCAAUCAACUGGGGAGUACGGUNGCAAGAUUGAAACUCAAAGGAAUUGACGGGGGCCCGCACAAGCGGUGGAGCAUGUGGUUUAAUUUGAAGCAACGCGAAGAACCUUACCAGGUCUUGACAUCCCGUUGACCACUGUAGAGAUAUGGUUUUCCCUUCGGGGACAACGGUGACAGGUGGUGCAUGGUUGUCGUCAGCUCGUGUCGUGAGAUGUUGGGUUAAGUCCCGCAACGAGCGCAACCCUUGAUCUUAGUUGCCAUCAUUUAGUUGGGCACUCUAAGGUGACUGCCGGUGACAAACCGGAGGAAGGUGGGGAUGACGUCAAAUCAUCAUGCCCCUUAUGACCUGGGCUACACACGUGCUACAAUGGACGAUACAAACGGUUGCCAACUCGCGAGAGGGAGCUAAUCCGAUAAAGUCGUUNUCAGUUCGGAUUGUAGGCUGCAACUCGCCUACAUGAAGCCGGAAUCGCUAGUAAUCGCGGAUCAGCAUGCCGCGGUGAAUACGUUCCCGGGCCUUGUACACACCGCCCG